rnacentral:rRNA from 1 species
CCUACGGGUGGCAGCAGUAGGGAAUAUUGCUCAAUGGGGGAAACCCUGAAGCAGCAACGCCGCGUGGAGGAUGAAGGUUUUCGGAUUGUAAACUCCUUUUGUUAGGGACGAUAAUGACGGUAUCUAACGAAUAAGCACCGGCUAACUCCGUGCCAGCAGCCGCGGUAAUACGGAGGGUGCAAGCGUUACUCGGAAGCACUGGGCGUAAAGAGCGCGUAGGCGGGAUAGCAAGUCAGAUGUGAAAUCCUAGGGCUUAACCAUAGAACUGCAUUUGAAACUGUUAUUCUAGAGUAUGGGAGAGGUAGGUGGAAUGCUUGGUGUAGCGGUAAAAUCCGUAGAGAUCAAGAGGAAUACUCAUUGCGAAGGCGACCUGCUAGAACAUAACUGACGCUGAUGCGCGAAAGCGUGGGGAGCAAACAGGAUUAGAUACCCGGGUAGUC